GUUAUAUCACAUCUCCCCUAUCCUUAUUGAUAUUGGGGAGUAGUAAAAGUGCUGCUAAUCAGUCUGAUUACCUUAACGAUCUACAUUAAUUGAAUUUAAUUCCCUGCUAUUACCAAUAUAUUAGGAUAUUUUUCCCGUUAGAAGAUGCCCUGUGGAGAGCGUUGUGGAAAGGAGGAAGAGAGGUUGAUAUGAAGAUGUGAUGCCACGAACCGUUCUGGAGGUUAAAGUGGACGGGAGUAAGUUCCAACAAAGUGAAAUGAAAAGUGAACACUGGAUGUCUUUUAUCUGGUAACAGUCACGCCCCACCAAAAUACAUGGAGUUAGUUAGAGGAAACACUGAGCUCACCAGUACCUUUCCGGACAACAAACCAGAGCCGAGCACCAUAAAGAGACCUGUUAGCAGACUAGCUGCAGCGUCCAAUCCGUCGAUGGCCGCAACAAGCACCUGCAGAGCCUGACGAAAAAGGC